CAGGUCUAUUACUCAGUCAGAGGGAGGGAGAGAGGUCACACUGUGGUACAGGUCUAUUAUAACUGUUAGAGAGAGAGAGGUCACACUGUGGUACAGGUCUAUUACUCAGUCAGAGGGAGGGAGAGAGGUCACACUGUGGUACAGGUCUAUUAUAACUGUUAGAGAGAGAGAGGUCACACUGUGGUACAGGUCUAUUACUCAGUCAGAGGGAGGGAGAGAGGUCACACUGUGGUACAGGUCUAUUAUAACUGUUAGAGAGAGAGAGGUCACACUGUGGUACAGGUCUAUUACUCAGUCAGAGGGAGGGAGAGAGGUCACACUGUGGUACAGGUCUAUUAUAACUGUUAGAGAGAGAGAGGUCACACUGUGGUACAGGUCUAUUACUCAGUCAGAGGGAGGGAGAGAGGUCACACUGUGGUACAGGUCUAUUAUAACUGUUAGAGAGAGAGAGGUCACACUGUGGUACAGGUCUAUUACUCAGUCAGAGGGAGG